UUAAAGUCGCGGUUGUCGGCGCGAUGUCCGGUCCGGUGGCGCAGUAUGGCGACCAGGAAUUUACCGGUGCGGAGCAGGCAAUUGCCGAUAUCAAUGCGAAAGGCGGUAUUAAAGGCGAUAAGCUCGUGUGGUAUCCUGUCUGAAUAUGGGGGGACCAUCCUCCAAGGCUAAAUACUCCUGACUGACCGAUAGUGAACCAGUACCGUGAGGGAAAGGCGAAAAGAACCCCGGCGAGGGGAGUGAAAAAGAACCUG
rnacentral:rRNA from 1 species